rnacentral:snoRNA from 1 species
CCAACCCCCCCUCACACACACAUGAGGAGCCCAGAGCCAUCUGAAAUCUCAGCAGAGUCCCCGAGACCCGGGCCCCGUGCUGUAAGACAGAUGGAGAGCACAGCAGCCUCCCCUCCGCCUCUGCAGCCGCCCCCAGUUCCCAGACAGCUGCCCGCGAGCGGGAGACCCACAGUUAGGGACCGAGGUGGGACCAGGCAGGAGCCAUGUG